GAUGAACGCUAGCGGCAGGCCUAAUACAUGCAAGUCGAACGAGAUUAAGAGGCUUGCUUCUUAUGAAAGUGGCGCACGGGUGCGUAACGCGUAUGCAACCUACCUUAAUCAGGGGGAUAGCCCGAAGAAAUUCGGAUUAAGACCGCAUAAAAACACAGGAUAGCAUUAUCCAAUGUUCAAAUAUUUAUUGGAUUAAGAUGGGCAUGCGUGUCAUUAGCUAGUUGGCGGGGUAACGGCCCACCAAGGCGACGAUGACUAGGGGAUCUGAGAGGAUGACCCCCCACACUGGUACUUAGACACGGACCAGACUCCUACGGGAGGCAGCAGUAAGGAAUAUUGAUCAAUGGAGGGAACUCUGAACCAGCCAUGCCGCGUGCAGGAAGACAGCCCUCUGGGUCGUAAGCUGCUUUUAUUCGGGAAUAAACCUUUCUACGUGUAGGAAGCUGAAUGUACCGAAGGAAUAAGGAUCGGCUAACUCCGUG
rnacentral:rRNA from 1 species